UACGGGGGGGGCAAGCGUUGUUCGGAAUUACUGGGCGUAAAGGGCUCGUAGGCGGCCAACUAAGUCGGAUGUGAAAUCCCCAGGCUUAACCUGGGAACUGCAUCCGAUACUGGAUGGCUUGAAUCCGGGAGAGGGAUGCAGAAUUCCAGGUGUAGCGGUGAAAUGCGUAGAUAUCUGGAGGAAUACCGGUGGCGAAGGCGGCAGCCUGGACCGGCAUUGACGCUGAUGAGCGAAAGCUAGGGGAGCAAACGGG
rnacentral:rRNA from 1 species